rnacentral:rRNA from 1 species
CAUGGCUCAGGAUGAACGCUGGCGGCGUGCCUAAUACAUGCAAGUCGAACGAACUUCCGUUAAUUGAUUAUGACGUACUUGUACUGAUUGAGAUUUUAACACGAAGUGAGUGGCGAACGGGUGAGUAACACGUGGGUAACCUGCCCAGAAGUAGGGGAUAACACCUGGAAACAGAUGCUAAUACCGUAUAACAGAGAAAACCGCAUGGUUUUCUUUUAAAAGAUGGCUCUGCUAUCACUUCUGGAUGGACCCGCGGCGUAUUAGCUAGUUGGUGAGGUAAAGGCUCACCAAGGCAGUGAUACGUAGCCGACCUGAGAGGGUAAUCGGCCACAUUGGGACUGAGACACGGCCCAGACUCCUACGGGAGGCAGCAGUAGGGAAUCUUCCACAAUGGACGCAAGUCUGAUGGAGCAACGCCGCGUGAGUGAAGAAGGGUUUCGGCUCGUAAAGCUCUGUUGUUAAAGAAGAACGUGGGUAAGAGUAACUGUUUACCCAGUGACGGUAUUUAACCAGAAAGCCACGGCUAACUACGUGCCAGCAGCCGCGGUAAUACGUAGGUGGCAAGCGUUAUCCGGAUUUAUUGGGCGUAAAGCGAGCGCAGGCGGUCUUUUAAGUCUAAUGUGAAAGCCUUCGGCUCAACCGAAGAAGUGCAUUGGAAACUGGGAGACUUGAGUGCAGAAGAGGACAGUGGAACUCCAUGUGUAGCGGUGAAAUGCGUAGAUAUAUGGAAGAACACCAGUGGCGAAGGCGGCUGUCUGGUCUGCAACUGACGCUGAGGCUCGAAAGCAUGGGUAGCGAACAGGAUUAGAUA